rnacentral:rRNA from 1 species
AUGCAUACUCGGUAUCCGUCCAUGCCCAGACUGCGCACACACAGCCAGACUCUGAAUUUCAUUGGCGCACUUCACAAACUGCACGGGAGCUUGCGUGUGGUAGAGCAGUGGGUGUCCUCAUCUUCCCGAUUUGACGCUGAGCAGUGGGUUUCCUCGUCUUCCCGAUUUGACCCUGAGGAUGAAGAACAAAGUGGCAUGACUUCAUGGGACAACAGUAGUUGCUUCAAAAGCCUGCAGCGUCAGGAGCAGAUAGCGGUGGAGGAAUCGGAGGCCACAAGCAACGGAUCAAACGACCUCCUUUGCACACCGCCACCUGCUGCUAUGCUCCCGUAG